rnacentral:misc_RNA from 1 species
CUUGACAAGAUUUUCAUGGCUAAUACUAGAGAGUGAAGCUAUCUCAGACAAGAACUCCCUGUCCCCUUGCUUUGAUUCUGUUGAUAGAACUUUCACAGCUACAAUUUUCCCAUCUUUUAGUCUUCCCUUAUAAACUGAGCCAAACCCACCGUCGCCAAUUUUGUUUGAUGAACGGAAGCCAUUGGUGGCAACUUCCAAUUCAGUCAACGAGAAGGCAUGAACAUUUUGAAGAAUGUGUUCACCUUGUACGCUAUCAUCUGAUGAGGAAAUUUCUGAUGAAGAAGAGAAACAUUUGAAGCAAGGGAAAGAAGACUUGAUAGAAGUAAAGAAACUGUGUUUG